AAACAGUCUUUUAUUAAGUCCUACUUACGCAUCACAAGUGACCUCAAUAUGAGCCAGGAUGGCUGCACAGUCCAUAUCAGAAGGUGACGGCAAACUGGUAAGAACAACUACAGUAUACAGCUUAACUGAGACAACAUCUUCUCUAGAAAAUAAUAGCAUCAUUAGAUUACAUGUACAUAAAAAAUUAUGCAGUUAGCAUACUCAAAUUUCUAAUACUUCUUUGAAGAAAGAAGAUAAAACUAAGGAGAUUACCAGACAAAUGCAGUUACUAUUAUGAAGUUUUCUACUAAACAACCCCAUGGCAAAGCAGUUGCACUACCUGCCAUCUUUAUCAGAAUUUAGGUGUCAAAAUCAAUUUCCUUGCAACUCAAAUAUACUCAUGGGGAUAUUUCUUAAUCUUCGGUGGAUGAGAAUUGGUUUUUGCUUCCCUGGGUUGCAAUAUCAUUCUUGUUUUUAUUCCCGGAUACCACUGGCAAAGAUGGUACCAAGCUCAGGGUCAAAAUUUCUUUUAUCGGGGUAAAAAGAUGGUACAAAGCUCAUCAAAGGCACCAAGGUUCAUAAGGGUGAAAUUGUUGAACUUGAUAGUACUACCAUGGCUUCUCGAACAGUGAAAGGUGGAGCAGCAGCUCCAUAGCUGCUCCAGCGCAAUGUGACACCUCUGGCAUGGCUUGUGGCGGUGACAUGGUGAAGGAAAGUGACAAGGAUGGUCGUGCUAGCUGUGAUGGCGCGGUCAUUGUCAAGUUCAGUAGGUAUGGUUUGGACUGCAGUGCAAUUGCACGACGACAUGGUUUGACAACUGCACAAUUCAGAUUUCCUUUUCCUUUUCCUCUUGUGGACCAAAAUUAUAGUCUGGCUCAUCUGGGAAUUGGUCGUCCGCCUGGUCAGAUGGAUUUCAAAGCGUUUCUGAUUCAGAAGUUCAAUAAGACUGACCAUCAAUGGAUCCACUGUCAAUGGCGGCAACAUGAAGGGUGAGUGGCCGGCAAAGUGAAGGAAGAUUGUCAUUGAGGUUGCAAAGCGGUAGUGCCCCAUUUGCUGUUGCAUGCUCGAGACUGACCUCAAGGUGAUGUCAGGUGACUACACACAUUUUGUGCUUUUCCUUCUCGCUGAUGUGGUGGAAUUUCUUUUACUUCUGCUCUGUGGUGCUAAAACCAUGCGGUUUUCAUUUUCCGUUUAAUUCUUUGGUGGAAAGUGGAAACUCGUGCAAUUUUUACAGAUAAUGCAAAUACUCAAUUAUAUCGUGUAAUGUUCAUGUGUAUUUUAUA